CUAGGCAACACUAAGUGUUGCCAGGUGCAAUCUGACAUUUCCAUUGGAAAGUUUGACAUUUUUUAGCAUAACAUCACUCAGAACGUUUUGUCAUUUAAUCGUGAAUUGUUUUAUUUACAGGGAAUUAAAAAAUUCAUCGCGGCAAAAAAAUGGAAUUAACUCGUGAACAUUUUCGUGCGAUCAUUUUUCACAACUUUCGACGUGAAUUAUCACGACAAGAGUGCAUCGAUGAACUAAAAUCUUUGUAUGGCUAUGAAGCACCAUCCUAUAGCACUGUGAAAAACUGGUACAACGAAUUCAAUCGUGGCCGACGGUCGCUCAAAGACGAAUUCCGUGUAGGUCGUCCAAAAACAGCCGUUGUGCCAGAAAACAUCGAUGCCGUACGUGAACUGAUAAGGCAAGACCGUCAUGUAACAUACCUUCAGAUAGAGGCAUGCCUAUGCAUUUCUCCCACCAGCAUACAUUCGAUAUUGCAUGAACACCUGGCCGUAAAAAAGGUUUGUUCUCGUUGGAUCCCGCACAAUUUGAAAAUCGCUCAAAAAAAGGCUCGUGUGUAAAGAAAUGCUGAAAAAAUACGAUCGCGGUGCUUCAAGAGACGUUUAUAAGAUCGUGACAGAUGACGAAUCAUGGAUCUUUGCGUAUGAGCCCGAAACAAAACAGCAAUCGACCGUGUGGGUCUUCCAAGACGAGCCAAAUCCAACGAAAGUUGUUCGUGGAAGAAGCACUUCGAAGCAAAUGGUCGCCUGUUUCUUCGGCAAAACUGGUCAUGUGGCGGCUGUUCCGCUUGAGCAACAUAGGACGGUCAAUUCUGAGUGGUACACCACCAUUUGUUUGCCUGAAGUCUUCGGAGAAAUUCGAAAAACGAACAAGAGAAGACGAAUCAUUGUGCACCAUGACAAUGUGAGCUCUCACACAUCGGCUCAAACCAGCGCCUUCUUGACCGGCCAAAACGUCGAAUUGAUGGGUCAUCCGCCGUACAGCCCUGACUUGGCACUCAUACAUCAAGAAAAUAAUGCGUGGCCAACAAUUUUCGUCGCCAGAAGAUGCUGUUGAAGCAUUCAAAAACCAUGUUUUGGAGGUGUCUCAAUCGGAGUGGAAAAAGUGCUUCGAAAAUUGGUUUGAGCGCAUGCAAAAGUGUAUAAAUCUUGAUGGAGAAUAUUUUGAAAAACAAUAAAACCAUUUUCUUUGAUAAAAUAUAUAUAGCAGCCCUCGUACAUACAUACUUGUACAUAUCUAUAUAUAUAUAUAAAAGAAAGUGACGUUAGUUACUACGCUUAUAACUGGAGAACGCCUGGACCGAUUUCGGUGAUUACCACCAAUUCGGACAGGUCUCCGCCCAAACAAGGAGAAUACUUAAGAAAAUUCUGGAAAAUUUUCCGAAAAAAAAAUUAAUUAUGAUUUUAAAUGCUGGCACAUAACUCAAAAACACCUGGACCAAUUUUGCCAAUUCUUUUUUUUUAAAUGUUCGUUGAGGCUCAAGGAUGGUUUUUAUGGCAAAAAAAAUUCGAAUAAUUGCCGGAAAACCCCUAAAAAGAGCCCUUUUCUUUUUCUCAUACAAACGAAUGAAUGCUGUUAGUAACGCUAAUGCUCGAGAACAGCUGAACCAAUCUUGAUGAAAUUUUCAGCGGUUGAUCGCUGUGGACCGAGGAAAGUUUAGAAAUAAAAAAAGCGUAUGCUUUUCGUGAGGAAAAGUCGGAAAGUUGGACAAUUCCAAAAAAAUAACUUUUUUUUCAUACAAACAUUUUUUUUCAACUUUUUUCCUUUUGUUUUUCAAUUGUCAAAUUUGUCGUUUGCUUUCUUUAUUCCAGGUAAUUAAAAAAAAAAAUUAUUGAAAUUUAUACCGUGAAAACGUUAUGUGUGUUUCACACAAAGUGCUCAAUUACAGAUUGAAAUUUGUUACGAUGCCACGAAGAGGUCGCGUUCGUUUUGGCAUCAACAUAAGUAUGUAUAUUGACAGCCCAUGGUACAUAACCGAGUAUUCCCAGGAUGCGAUGACAUACGAAUGAAAUUAUGGAUCGCGGGCAAUCAGCAAGCGAUCGUCACGAUGUCAGAGGACAACUUUUCAAACAACAGUUGCGAUGUUUUGUAAACUUUAUCUUAAAGCAACGUAUAUGUGGUGCUGUUAGAUGCUGGAUGUACUCUGUUGAGUGGCAAAAGAGAAGUUUGCCGCACGCACAUAUUCUUCUUUGGAUGGUGGACGGUGGUUACACCAAAUCAAAUUGAUGAAAUCAUUUCUGCGGAAAUUCCUGAUCCAGAGAUAGAAGCAGAAUUAUACGAAACCAAUAUGGUUCAUGUACCUUACGGACAUAACAAUACCACUUCGGUUUGUAUGUCUGACAAUAAAUGUACGAAACACUAUCCAGGUGCUUUUCUUUCGGAAACACAAACUAGAAAUGAUGGAUAUCCAAUGUAUCAGCGUCGCUCACCAGAUGACAAUGGCAGAACAGUUAGCGUUGAACUUAGAGGCGUGAAUAUCGAAGUUAACAACAUAUCGAAGUCGACAACAUAUGGAUCGUACCAUAUUCGCCACUGUUGUCUAAUUCACAUUCAAAAGUCAUGUCAAUGUUGCGUAUUGCAGUUUGGUGUAAUCGAUAAAAUACGUGUGUAAAUACGUCACAAAGGAAGCAACAUGGCGGUUACUGAUCUUGAACGAUACGGUCGAUACGUGAACUGCAAUAAAGCGCUUUGUAUGAUAUUUACUUUUGCGAUUCAUGAACGUUUUCCGACUGUUGUGCGUCUCGCAGUUAAUUUGGAGAAUGACCAAAUAGUCUAUUUCAACACAGAGAAUACAGUACAGACAGAGAAAACACCCCCAGCAACAAAAUUAACAUUUACGAGUUUUUUCUCAACUUUCGUCAGUGAACCGUUUGCGAGAACUUGCUCUAUUCGGAAAUAUCUAUAUUAUACAUACAAUUACAAUUACAAUUGCUGGAACACGAUAAUCACUGGAAUGAAGUUCGCACACUUUUCGCGAAGAUCAGCCAUCAAAUUAGCGUCAAUUAUGGAAUACGAACAAAAAUGACAUUGCCGAAGACAUUUUACAUCGUAUUCGCUAAGAAUUGGAAAUGGGUAAAUUCCGGUUGAUACUUCCGGUGGUUUGAUAUCAAUUCCAUCUUCCCUUUAACAAUUCACCAAAGAUGAACUCAUCACGAAUAUUCAGACAUUAGACAAAUUAUCGUAACCACAAUUCCUUAAGUGCACGCGCAAUCUUAGCUGCCAAAAAUACCGAUGUUGUUGAUUUAAACUGGAAGAUUCAAAGUCAAAUUCCGGGAGACUUGCGCUCAUACAAAUUGAUCGAUCGUGGAAUUUCUAAAUUCUUUGAAUAGGCUUGGUAUGCCACCGCAUCAUUUGCGUCUCAAAGUUGGAUCUGUCGUUAUUAUGUUCCACAAUCUUCAGGCGCCGAAACUGUGUAAUGGAACCUGACUGAUUGUGACGCAGCUAUCGAAUACAAAGGGGCAGAAUGCUUGAUUCUACGAAUUCCUCUGAGUUCUAACGAUUUGCCAUUUCAGUUCAAACGUAUUCAGUUUCCAGUGAAAAUUCCAUUUGAGACACAAGGAUAGUCGCAUAGUGUAUGGUAUACAUUUGGAAAUGCUAUGUUUUUCACUCGGCCAGAUAUACGUGGCCUGCUCACGAGUUGGAAAACCAUAUUUUCUAUACACCGGAACAGAAACCAAAAAAUGUUUAUCAAGCUGCGAUACAUUGAAAAAAAGUGAAAUGAUAAAUUCAACUUUUUCAUUUCUAAACACAUAAUUUCACGCAGGAAAACGACUGCGGGGUCAGCUAGUUUACAAAUAAAAUCUUGUCCAAAUUAUUUAAACAUAAAUAUAUGUACAUAUAUAUUUCUUUUUAUUCAUACUCAGAAGGAAUUAAAAUGUACAAAGACCGUAAGUUACAUAUUUAUUGUAACAUGCAAAUACUUAUAUUUAUAAUAGAUAACGCCUUUGGAAGAAUUCUAUUUUAGAGGUGAUCUAGUAAGAGCAUACAAAAAUAUGAAGGGAACAGUUCUCUAGCCUGCUGAAUGGCAGUGAAAACAUAACACCAGGAGAUGGUGAAUCCGAUUCCCCAAUUGAUGACGAUGGAGCAGACGUUCCAUUGCCCGAUCAUGAACAACAUAACAGCUACCCGUCUGAAGAAAAAUAAAGCGGCAAGGGCCGAUGGAUUGUCGGCUGAGCUAUUCAAAUACGGCGGUGAAGAACUAAUCAAAUGCAUGCAAUAGUUUCUUUGUAGAAUAUGGUCGGCCGAAAGCAUGCCUGAUGAUUGGAAUUUAAUCUACAAAAAGCGAGAUCCCACAAUCUGCGCCAACUACCGUGGGAUAAGCCUUCUAAACAUCGGAUACAGUGUGGCUUCAGGCCUGGAAAAUCAACAACUGAGCACAUAGUCACCACGCGCCAAAUCCUGAAAAACACCCGUAAAAAAGGAUCAGCACACCUCCGUAGAUUUCAAAGCUGCUUUUGCAGUUCGAACUAUUUUCUACAGGAUUAGAUUGAAAAAGUCGCACUAUAGAUAGUCGCUUUGUCUGAUACCUCGUUUGGUAUAGAGCCGUUCGAGAGAUCCUUCCCAAUCCUUACGGAUAUUUUGGUAUUGCUCAACGUAAGUUUACAUAGCCGUAUUAGUUUUGCGGUGAUAUCAAAUUCAGACAUAGACGCAUAAAGCAACUUCUUUUCGAGCUGUCAAAAACAGCUUUGGAAUGGACGGAAAGGUGCGGGAUCUCUUUUAACGGGUUUUCCCGUAUUUGGCGCACGGUGAUUGUCUGCUCUUCUUCUUCUUUAGUUGCGAAGACACCGCUUUCGCGAUUAUAGCCGAGUUAACAGCGCGCCACUCGUUUUUUUUUGUCGAUACGUGGUGCCAAUUCCAUCCGGGGCCCUAUUCUGUAUCUCGAUUCGAAAGUAAAUUCUUUUCGAAUUUAAUAUUCGACUCGAAUGUGUUUUAGCAUUCUGUAAAAAAAUCGAAAUAAGUUUAUAAAUAUGCGAAAGUUGUACCACCCUGUGUCAGUAUUUUCGAAUGCUAAAUGUCCAAAUAAAAUGAAAUAAGUUUAAAUUUAUCUGAAAAAUAUGGAUUCCGUUGCAUUGUGGAUGGAGGACGAGGAAAUUAUUGAGGAAAGGAUUACGAGAAGAUACAUAAAUGAAUUUAAUAUUAUGGAAUUAUCGCAAAAUAGCUUCAUACAAAACUUUAGACUUUCUAAGGAAGCCUUUGAUUAUGUUUUAAGAGGCAUAACUGAAGAACUAACGGUACCUAUAAGAUCCACGGCAGUAAAUCCAGCUAUAAAACUUGCUGCUACUUUAAAAUUCCUUGGUCAAGGGGGCUAUCAACAUCAAAUAGGGCAAGACCGGUUUGCAGCGUUAGCACAGUCCACCACAUCUCAAUGUAUUGCAGAAGUUUUGAAUGCUAUUGAAAAAACAAUGUGUCCGAAACACAUAAAAUUUGAAAUGAGCUUACAAGAAAAGCGUGAAGCUAAGAAUUAAUCUUAUUCAAAAUUUGGAUUACCAGGAAUAAUAGGUGCUGUUGAUGGAACUCACAUUCAGAUGGUUAGACCAGUAAAAGAUGAACAUCUCUUUUUUAAUCAAAAGCUAAAGCAUAGCGUCAAUGCUAUGGUGAUUUGUGACCAUAACAUGAAUAUAAGAGCUGUAAAUGGAGUUUAUGGUGGAGCAGCGCAUGAUGCACACGUAUGGAGCCUUUCAAACAAAUGACAAAACAUGCUAUCCAACUAUCAAAAUGGAGAUAAAUCUUCAUGGUUAAUUGGCCGGUGAUUUUAUUCAAACCGCUUGUACUUGUGAUUCUGGAUAUCCAUUAGUGCCAUGGCUCCUUACGCCUUACCGCAAUGCAGAAGAAAAUUCACUUGAAAGUUUGUACAAUGAAAAAUUUACAAAAGCAAGAUCAAUAAUCGAGCGUGUAUUUGGAAUUUUAAAAAGUCGUUUUCGAUGCCUGCUUGCUGGAAGAGAGCUUCACUAUGCACCAAAAAAAGUUGUUAAAAUUUUGAACGUUUGUUGUGCCCUGCAUAACAUUUGCCUCAUAUACAACGUUGAAGCACCAACAGUAAUUGAAAUUAAUGAAGAACGAUCUAAUUUGGCUUUACCCAGCGUAGAUCAAAACGAGUUUUCACGAAUUGCGCAAACAAUACGAGACCGAAUUAAAAUAAGCUUGCGUUCGUAAUUUAAAUAAAGUAACUAAAAAGCAAUCCAUUUA